GUCCACGUUCUCGCUCUCCAGGGCCUUCUUCCACCAGUCGGUCAGCUCCUUGAAAGACUCCUUGAGGUCCUUGAGCUUGGAGUCCUUGCCCAGCUUCAGGCCCUCCUUGGAAACGUUCUGGAACUUCUUGUCCUCGUAGUCCAUCAGGUAUUGCAUCAGGUACUCGUCCACUGGGUCAGUGAAGAAGAUAACCUGUGAAACAAAUACAAUUGCAGUAUUAAUUCACAAACUGUAUCCAGGUACGAAACUAAAGUUGACUUAUAAAGCAACUAUAGGCGACAGAGAGCAUGUGAUCUGGUUCCCGGAUGGACAACUAUUUUACAUCCAGAUCAGCAUCAUACCUCAUAGUUCUUCUUGGUUAGCCUCUCAAGGAACGGAGACUUCUC
rnacentral:lncRNA from 1 species